UCCCCGGUAGCUCAGCGGCAGAGCAGAGAGCUGUUAACUCUAAGGUCGUAGGUUCGAAUCCUACCCGGGGAGCCA
rnacentral:tRNA from 1 species